rnacentral:misc_RNA from 1 species
AACUGAUACUACCUGCGGGAACCUGCGGAGGGAUCAUUACUGAAGUGAUUUGGGGAUGUUGCUGGCCCUCUCUCAAGGGGGGGCACUGUGCACUCCUCGAAACAAUUCACAAUUUCCAUCACACCCCUUGUGCACACCUUGUAGGCGCCCAAACCCACCUCCGGGUGGUGGGGUCCUAUGUAUUCCUUCAUCUCACACUCUGUUGAAUGGUGCCAUGGGACGCAUCUAAAGGAUUAUUUG